rnacentral:sRNA from 1 species
CUCGGUCUUCCGGAGAGAUGGAUGAGUGGUUUAAGUCGCACGCCUGGAAAGCGUGUAUAGGUUAAUCGCCUAUCGGGGGUUCGAAUCCCCCUCUCUCCGCCAGAUGAUGGCAAAAACCCCGCUAAGUCAACGACUUGCGGGGUUUUU